GACGAACGCUGGCGGCGUGCUUAACACAUGCAAGUCAAGGGGGCCCAGCAAUGGGCAACCGGCGAACGGGUGCGUAACACGUGAGCAACCUACCGAACUGUGGGGGAUAGCCGGCCUAACGGCCGAGUAAUACCGCAUACGCUUUCAGUGAGGCAUUUCAUUGAAAGGAAACCUACGGGACAGAUCGAGGGGCUCGCGGCCUAUCAGCUAGUUGGCGAGGUAACGGCUCACCAAGGCAACGACGGGUAGCUGGUCUGAGAGGAUGGCCAGCCACAUUGGGACUGAGAUACGGCCCAGACUCCUACGGGAGGCAGCAGUGGGGAAUCUUGCGCAAUGGCCUAACGGCUGACGCAGCGACGCCGCGUGUGGGAUGAAGCUCUUCGGAGUGUAAACCACUGUUGCCCGGGACGAAUAGCUCGAUU
rnacentral:rRNA from 1 species